GGCCAAACAACCUCCACCAAAAUGUAAGAAAAGUAAAGAUAAAAGUGAACCCCGACUAUGUAGAUUGAGAGGCCAGCUACAAUUGAAAUCAGGAUCAAAACUGCACGAUGUAUCAACUAGACCUAGCAAAAGUAGUGGUAAAUCUCCAGCUUUGAAGAAAACGUGUAAAGGUAAGAAAAAGGCCAAGAGAUGUCCAUCAAAGAUGACGAAGAUAAAGAAAGAUGAAGGGAAAUCAGGGUCAACGCUUCACGAAAUAUUCGCUAGGUGUAGCGCAAGUAGUUCGAAGUCGGUUUGUUUGACGAAAAAAACUAAAUAUCCCCGCAUAAAACUAUUUUCUCCACCAUACGCACACAAAAUGUUGAAAAGAGUGAAAAGUGGAAAUGAUACAGCAACAAAAUCAAAGCUAAACCGGUUGAAGAGCAUUCCAUUUUUGAAAUCUGAAACCGAAAUAAAGAAUAUAUUACCGAAACCCAGCAGUGCUGCCGCUUCUCUUAGAAAAAAGAGUCGGUUCUAUAGAGGUAAGAAAACACCACCACCUGAGAAAUUGAAGAGCGUACCGAAUAUUAAAUCAGAGAUUGAAAUUAAAAAUAUACUUCCUACCCAAAGCAAUAGUAGCAAUAGGUCUAGAGAAUGUAAAUGGUAC